GGUUGUAUCCUGAUAAUCUGUCCUUAAAAAUGGGCAAACUGUGACUCCACACUCACAGAAAUACAGCUGUGACUGCUCUGACUCCAUCACAGCCUGGAGAAUGGGAAGGGGAAAUUGCUGCCAUCGUUAAUAUCUUCAAGACUCCGAAUGACUGCUGGGACUUUGGAGGAUAUUUAGAUGUAGGAUGGAGGAGACACAGGCCUGUUCAAAGAGUUGUAUUCCAGGACUGUGCUGUGCUAGGGAACCAAGCUUUGUGUAUCCAAACACUCUGCAACUGGAAUGGUCCCUGCACAAUUCAUGGCAUCUUGUGAAC